UCCCUGGUGGAGUAGUACCUAGCAUGCGGCACGCUCAUCGUUGUGGCCUGGGUUCGAUUCCCAGUCAGGGAA